rnacentral:rRNA from 1 species
CGGAACGUUACCUUUCAGGUGGGGAAUAACGUAGCGAAAGUUACGCUAAUACCGCAUAUUCUGUGAGCAGGAAAGCAGGGGAUCGCAAGACCUUGCGCUGAUUGAGCGGCCGAUAUCAGAUUAGCUAGUUGGUGAGGUAAAGGCUCACCAAGGCGACGAUCUGUAGCGGGUCUGAGAGGAUGAUCCGCCACACUGGAACUGAGACACGGUCCAGACUCCUACGGGAGGCAGCAGUGAGGAAUUUUGGACAAUGGGCGCAAGCCUGAUCCAGCCAUGCCGCGUGAGUGAAGAAGGCCUUCGGGUUGUAAAGCUCUUUCGGCCGGGAAGAAAUCGCACAGGUUAAUACCCUGUGUGGAUGACGGUACCGGAAUAAGAAGCACCGGCUAACUACGUG